rnacentral:snRNA from 1 species
GGAUGUGAGGGCAAUCUGGCUGACAUCUGUCACCCCAUUGAUUGCCAGGGUUGAUUUGGCUGAUCUGGCUGGCUAAGCAGGUGUCCCCUUCCUCCCUUACCGCUCCAUGUGCAUCCCUUCUGAAGCUGCGCACUUGGUUGAAGAGGACGACCUUCCCCGCUAGAGAAGGACCGGUCUUUGGUCAAGGGUAUACGAGUAGCUGUGCUCCUCUGCUAGAACCUCCAAACAAGCUCUCAAAGAUUUAUUGAUUUAUUUGAAAGGCAGAGAAGGAGAGAGAGAGAGAGAGAGAUAAAUCUCUUUGGUCCACUGAUGAUAUUGCAACAGCCAGGUCUAGG